rnacentral:misc_RNA from 1 species
AGGCUGAUGAGGGAUUUCAAGAGGCUCCAGCAGGAUCCUCCUGCGGGCAUUAGCGGUGCCCCUCAAGAAAACCAUGUCUUGCUCUGGAAUGCUGUCAUUUUUGGGAACGUUUAAGUUGACUCUGCAAUUCACAGAGGAUUAUCCCAACAAACCUCCAACAGUCCGCUUUGUCUCACGAAUGUUUCAUCCAAAUAGUAUAUUGAUUUCGUGCUUAUGUAUUUCAUUGCCUUUCAAUUAAUGAUGAACUGCUUGCUUAUAUUGUCUCUCUGUGUAUUUUUCUGACUUGUACUUCACUUCGUGCUCAUAUAUUUUGUGUGUAUUACGGGCAUUUGGUUUUCUUAGUACGUUGUCCUGAUUAUUGGGGAUGAAUUACAAUCCUUUAAUCUCUGACUUUGUUUGAAUGGAUUUCAUCAGUAUAUGCAGAUGGAAGCAUUUGCUUAGAUAUCUUACAAAAUCAAUGGAGUCCAAUAUAUGAUGUGGCUGCUAUUCUUACCUCUAUUCAGGUUCAACUUUCUUUGACACUUUUCUUAUGUUGAUGGUAAGGAAUAAUUUUUUUUAAGAGAGAAAAAUAAUUAUUGUAAUGACUUUUGGGGAUGUGUUUAAACUAUAGCCAUUUUUAUGUGGUCAAGUUUUGAGAUUGAGAACUCACUAGCAGUUUUCAAAUUAAUUUCAAUUGAGAAACUUUUGACUGUUGCCAGAUUUUAGAUUCUGGGUUUAGAGCACAAGUGGGCAGACCAGGGUCUUGAGUAGGGAUAAGCAGUUUUCGAUUAUAAACAAAAAAACUGAACCAAACCAAACUAAUUCGGUUUUUUGAUUCGAUUUUCAAAUUUUUGCUUUGGUUCAGUUAGUUCAAUAAGAGAACUAAACUAACCGAACCGACUGAAUUUUAACUCCCAUAACCAUUUCUGCUGUUUUUAACUUUAAGUCCCGCCAUUUUAUACCCUAUAUUUUUGCCAUCUUCAUUCUCCAGCCUCACCCUUGCUCUGUCCCUUCCUGGUCCCUCCUCCCUCGACUUGACCUUAAGUGUCCCUUGCUGUCCCUCCUUCGUGAUUAUGCUUCUACGCGCCUCACCCAAGUGCCUUCCAAAAUUGUUGUCCUUCUCUCGUCAGUCGCCCCUAUCGCAUCUAUCUGGAAUCCUUCAAUCCCAUCGGACUUGCUCAUCUUCGCCUCAAUCUCGCAACAGCAACUCAUCUGCCCCCCAAUAUCUCUCGUCCCUCAGUCUUGCAACAAUAGCGACACAUGAAUUUUAUUAUAAAAUUAUUCUUGCAUAAGAGUUAUUCCAAGCUGUGUUAUAUUGUUGAGGAUAUUUCUAAGGCUGUAAAGUUUUUGCUGGGUUAUAAAAUUGCAUAAGACUAAAUGUCAAGAUUAGGCAUAUUCUUUAAAUUUGCAAUCCUGAGCUUAUCUGGAUGCCUUUGUUUUCCUGUCAUUGCAUUCUUAGUCAUGAUAUGUACCAGAGGAAAGUGUAGCUAGAGACCUGAGUUUGUAGGUUUUUUAGGCCAUUUCAGCAUACAGGAGUCAUAAAAACUCAUGGCAUGGAGUUUAGUUAUUGGUUGCUUUUAGAUCUGUUAGAUUCAAAUGUGUAAGAGGCUAAUAAUAGUAGUAGCAAAUUUGACCAGGACACCUCUUUAACUCAACUAAUGGCCCAUUUGCAAGUAGGUUGUAUCACGUUAUGCCUGAUAUCAACAUGAUUAGAAGUAACUGAGCUCUGUGCUGUGCUAAUGUGCUUCUGGACUCUGGAUGUGAAGUUCACCCAUUGCCAGCUUUGUGCUUAAGGAAUCAUUAACUGAUAUUAGAUCUUGUAUGACACUUAGAUUUAAUUGGUUUCUUUCAUAUGUUUCAAGGCAUCACUUUUGUCAUUGUAUGCAGAUUGUCAUUGAUGUCAUUGCCACUUUGAAGAAAUUUUGUUUGCAUAUCUCCCAAGUGAAAUGCGUUUACUAACAAGAGUUACUUUACGUGCUUUUAACCAGUCCCUGCUUUGUGAUCCAAACCCAAACUCACCUGCAAACUCUGAAGCAGCUCGCAUGUUGAGCGAGAAUAAGCGGGAGUACAACCGAAGAGUGCGUGAAAUAGUGGAGCAGAGCUGGACUGCUGACUGAAAACCCUACAAAAGCACCAGCAACCUGUGCUGUAUUGGAAGACAAAAGAGUGGUCUGGCAGUGUGCAUUUUUGUUGUAUUUUCUUUGAGCGAUUCCAUUUCUGCCUUUUAGCAAAAGCUACUUGAAUUUCUUGUUAGCCUCUAUGUUUUCUUAUGAUUGUUUUUUGAUCACCUUGUGUACAAGACAUUAUCAUGUGUAUAGGAAGUCUUGUUUGUUGUUUGUGGUAGUUCAAGUUGUUAUGUCCUGAGCAGAUAGUUGUUAAUGGAGUUGUGCCCUUGCUCCUAGAGAAGGGUUUCUCUUGUGCAGUUCUUAAUACAACAUUCAAUCAUUAUGAAUGAUUAUUCAGUUAUUUUUUGGUGGUAGUUUAAUCUUUUAUGUGGAUGUUUUUGCAUAAGCUAUUGAGUUAUUCAUCCUGAAAUAUUUGUGAUUACAGCAGAUGGAUGUUGGUGCAAGUGCACUUUCACCUGUGAUGGACCACAAAGACUGCUAAAACCAUUGAAUCCAUAGGUUUGCACAGGGGUCAAUCACUUGUGUUUUGAAAUUAAAAUGAGACAAAAAUCAAAGCAUUGUUAAUUGGUAGAACAUCUUAAACGAGUGCGUUGAACGAAGUAUGUUUUUGGUGAUAUGUAUUUUGUUUCUCUUUAAUAUUCACAUUUUAUUUGUUAACUGGCUGUUCCAGAAAGUUAAAUUCUCCCCCGUGAAGAAGGCUUGUAUUUGAAAUUCUACAUGGAUAUUCAGCAGACCCUGUAGAUUGUGGAUUUGGAUGCAUGACAUGGAAAGAACUACAGAAGGCUGCAAAACACUGAAAUGACUAGUUUGGUUAUUUUAUCAACUGCACUAGGAAGACAAUGCUCCAACGUACUAGAUGCAUUUCGUUGAAGUACUACUUUGUUUGGCAUAUGCAGCUGAUGUGUUGAUGUAUGUUCCCAAUGCAACUUCAGAUUCCCAUGUUCCUUUGGGACAAUUUUUAUGGGGCAUGCAAUUACCGCCCUUGUAUAUCUAUGCAGGUGUAUAUGAAUUGUUUGGUUUAGUUAUGAGAUCCUCAAUGCAAUCUAUUAUUGGUUUUAUGGUUUUACGUGUGGGUUGUUUUGCAGAAUAUUCAUUUCUGAUUCAAUAGUGUGGUAAAAAGCUUGUAGUAACUUUGGAUUGUUUACGAUUUUGCGAUCCCUUCCCAUGUGUCCGUUCCCAGAGAAAAUUAGAAGCAAUGACAAGCAAAGUUUACAAGUGAAAAAGGUAUGAUGGGUAAUGUGCGCUAGUGGGUGUAAUGUAAUUUAAAAUGCAGAACAUAUUACACUAUUUAGGAAGAGAUCAUGUAAAUACAUGAUUUGCAACCCAUUUAUCAUCAUUCAAAGCUGCCAUUUUUGCGGGCAGAUUGCCAUUUUUUUCUUUCUUCAAAAACUGGUAUACGUAAAUCCUGAACAGUAAACUCGCCGUUGAGAGAAAAUUACUAUCUUGAUAAUCACAAAGUAAAGAGAUAAGCAACUAGAUGAUGGCAGGGAAAUCGUAGAGUGACUCUACCCAUGCCAAGGAUGAAUAGACUGUCAAGAAAAGCUCUGUAUAAGUAGUCUUUUUCAAAAUUCUAACUUCUUUUCUUCUGGUAACUGUCAUUUCCUGAACAGUGCUGCUAAGGAACCGUAAGGUGUAGUCGUGGAGGAUUUGAAGGUGAGACUGGAGAGCCUUCGGUAGAAUCUCCCCGCCAUCCAUCCUGCACUUGAGCAGCAAACUGCAAGUUCCACAUCACAUCCUCGACUGAAGGUCUAUCUGCUGGGUUCUUAAGCAGGCACCUUACACAGACCUCCAUCAUUGUCUUCAAUGACUGAUCCGGACACCCCCUCUGAACAGCUGGAUCAACCAUGCUCCUUCGAGCAGCAUCGUCACUAGUGAUGCCAACUUGUAACUGAUCUUUUAAAACAUCCACUUCAUUCGUGUGAUUCAGGGGUCUUCCCACAAUGAUUUCAAGUAACAUUACUCCAAAGUCAUACACAUCAAUCUUCUCUUCUUGAUUUGUCCUUGAACUGGAGCUAGGAUCUUUGGAUCCACCAGAAGAAACUCCAUGGACAACCUUUCCUGCGUUCUCUGCUAAUAAAGGCAGGUUAUAACUACUAAUUUUUGCAACAAGGUUCUGAUCCAGCAAAACAUCUGUUAUUUUCAGAUUAUUUGAAUGUAUUCCUGGCACUAUCCCUGUAUGCAAAAACUGUAUGCCUUUUGCUACACCUAUUGCAGCUGCUAUUCGUUGUGCCCAAUUAAGUGUUUGUCUGGCAUGUCUCUCUGAGAUCCAACUCCUUAGUGUGCCAUUUGGCACAUAUUCAAAUACAAGAAAUAUUCUGCUGACACUUGAAUCAUCCAAGUAACAUUCAAAGCAGUGUCCGAGAGCACUGACCAGAUUUCGAUGCCUCAGUUUGGAAAUCAGCUCUAUAUGGUACAUAAAGUUUUGGGUGCUGUAACUCCUUUUCAUUUUUAGGCAUCUAAUGGCAACAUAGGAACCAUUCUUAAGCCGGCCCUUAUACAUCUGCCCUUGAGAGCCUUCACCCAUGAAAGUAGCUGUGUCGAAGUUGUUUGUAGCCUCCUCAAGCUCCUCCAAAGAAAAGGAACGGUAAGCUGGAAUGCCAAGUGCUCCCAACUUCAUUGUUUGAGAUAUAUAUCUUGCAUCUGAGAGUAACUUUGAAGGGUACCCAGUUGAUGCAUUCUCUGAAAUUAGUCUUGUUGUAGGUCUCUUGACUGUCUUCCUGGCAUUGGACUUUUUAACAGCCAAGAAAAUCAAAACAACAAGUGCAAUUCCUCCAACAAUCCCUCCAAUUGCACCCAAUGCAAUAAUUUUAGAAUCUCGUCUCCUUUUCUCGUGCUGAGGCAAAAUUCCUACGGCUAAUGCUUCAUUCCGACAAAAGGAAAGUGGAUGUUGACUUUGAUCCCUUGUUGCUAGACAGUUCCCGGCAUACAUGAUCUUUUCCUUAGAAUCUGAGUGAAGGCACUCAGGCAAGUGUCCACUUAUAAGAUUUGAGGACACAUCCACAAAUUCAAGGUCAGCACUGCAAGAUUGAUUUUCAAAAAGCACUCCUGUGAACUUAUUAUCUGCAACAUUUAGAUAAGUUAUGGAAGGCAAAGAUAACAAAUAUUGUGGAAAUGGCCCCACAAAUUUAUUGUGUGAGAGGUCUAGACGUUGAAGUUGAUAAUAUGAGCUCACUUCAGCUGGGAGGCCAUCCCUGAAUUUGUUCUUGCUCAGGACAACAGUAACUAACUUGUUUCCAAGCUGAGGAAACUGGGGUCCAAAAGCAUUAUCUUCCAAGUCAAGCACUUGAAGAUUUGUCAAACUGCUAAAAUCUGGCACCUCUCCAUAGAAGUAGUUAUGUGAAAGAGCAAGAACUCUAAGAUUUUCCAAAUCACUAAAUGAACUUGGCAAUGACCCAUUGAACAUAUUUUUCCUCAAACUCAAAACAGCUAAGAGUGGUAGUGAACCCAGCCAAUGUGGUAACUCGCCAGAAAACAUGUUAUCAUCAAGUAUGAGCGUCUGGAGGCUAGUUAGUGAUGAAAGAUCUUCAGGGAUGGGAUCAUAUAGGAAAUUGGAACUCAUGUUCAGUAUUUCCAAUGAUGACAACCGAGCAAUUUUACCAGGCAGUGGACCCCAUAAACCUAAGGAAGCCAGUGUCAGGACUUUUAAGUCUGGAAGGCUAACUAGUGUAGUCACAAAUGAAUCAAUUGAAAAGUUCCUAGGCAACAUAGAGGAUCCUUUGUUGCCAAUGAUAUGCAGUUGUGUUAUGCUGUCCCCAUAGCAAACCACAGUAACAGAUGAAUUUGGGUCGGUAUUGCAGAAAUCUGUGGUGCUAUUCCAACCGUUAAGAAUAUAUGGAUAGUUAAGAAGCCGCUGAAUUCUUAGAAGGGUCUGACCCUGGGAGGUUUGUAGCUGCUCUGAAUGUUCAACUAAAAGCAAAAUGAUGAUGAAAACUAAGAUUGCAGAAUGCUCGAAUGUCUUUGCCAUUGAUUGUAUAUACAGAACCAGUACAACAAAGCAUAGAAGAUAUCCAGAGCUCUGGAGGACUAGAAAAAGAGCAUUAUCUGCAAGAUUCCUAUGAAAAGCAGCAGCUUAGUAACUAGUUUAUGCCAAGUACUAAUUCUAAAAUUGCAUUGGAACUUAGGAAGUCAACUAUUAAUGCAGUUACGCACACAGAAAGCACAACCACCUAAAAUAAGUUCAAGAAUUCAUAAAUUGACAGAAGAACCAAAUCUGUGCAUAGAAAUGGAACAUCACCACCACAAAAAUGACAUUCAGAGUACAAACAAUUUUAAAAAUUUACUCUUUUGCAGAAACUGCAUAUUUGCUUUGCAGGAUUCCUUGUUAACUAAUUUUAGUGAGGAAUUUAUCAUGUUGAGCGCAUAUAAAAUAUUUCUAUCAUUCUUUCAACUCCUUAGCUUAUAAUUGAAAAUAGCAUUCUUGAUAUUCAAUGAGGAAAAAACUUACCUCCAGGGAAACCAGCUUCACUUUGGACCUCAUAAUCGAAUAAAACCACCAAGUGAUCUUGAAAUACUGCUUAUCUUUUCCUCUCAAAAUCAAAAAAGAAUACGACAGCAAACCCAAACCACAAGUUUGUGCUUAAUUUCUGUAGCAAAAAGUCAAUUAAAACUUGCUAAUAGAUGAUUAUGACUUACAAAUGAAGAAAUACCCACCGAUGCUUCUUCUCUAACUCCAAAGGAACCCUCCACAUAGAAGACAAAAUCUUCAAAAAUGCCUUAAAAGCCAGUUCAGAUUUUGCAUGUUUCCUUGCAUUUCACAUUUUCACCAUAGUCAAAACUCAAUCAAAGACCGAUUUCCGAUCCUCAAAGCAAAUAGGAAGAUGAAAAACCAAACCAAAUAGCUUCCGCAAAAUCCAGAAACCUCAACAACCAUACACUGAGAAACAUGUCAACCAGGAGAGUCCAAAUCCUACUGACAAAUAUUAGUCUCUUUUCACAGGCAAGGACAAUUUAGUGACACGGGUUCAAAGAAACUUGUAGCAGUCAUAAAUCGCACCGAAGUGACCUGGAAAUACCAGAUAUGGACCACUACUUUCAUCUUUUUUCUCUCAAGAAUAAGGAAAAAAAAAAAAACCCCAA